rnacentral:misc_RNA from 1 species
GCUUUCUGUUUCUGGACGGUUGACUGACCUGACCUUUGAGUAUAUUGGGAAGUAUGCCAAAAACCUUGAGACACUUUCAGUUGCUUUUUCUGGCGGCACUGACUGGGGUAUGCAGUGCGUGCUCGACGGCUGUUCUAAGCUGAGGAAGCUGGAGAUAAGGGAUUCUCCAUUUGGAAAUGCAGCACUUCUUUCUGGAAUGGGGAAGUAUGAAUCAAUGCGGUGUCUUUGGAUGUCAGCUUGCAGGGUCACCAUGAAUGGUUGUAGAAUACUUGCACGAGAGAGACCUAGGUUGAAUGUCGAGGUAAUCAAAGAUGAGCACAGCGAUGACUAUGCUGAUAAAUUAUACGUCUAUCGUUCUGUAGCAGGGCCACGAAGGGAUGCCCCACCUUUUGUUGUAACUCUCUAGUACAAAGUAACAGGAACUUCGGCAUGCACUAGGAUACCCUUUUAUUUCAGCUAGUUUUAUCUGCUACAACAUGCAUGAUGUUCGUAAAGGUGGACGAGAGAAAGUAAGUGAACAAUGGAUUAAAGGAAUAUCUCUCCUUAUGCUGCAUUUACUAUGUUUUACUUGAAGAAGCUUGAAAUUUUCAAGGAAGAUCAACAAAAGGGAUGUCUGUGCGCGCUCUUACUGAACUACUGCAUUAUAAGAAAGAAACCAUGCGAAGAUUCUCUAACAGUUAGUGAGACCUUUGGCCAUUGAACGAAUGAUCCCAUGACGGAGUUGAAAAGUUGAUUAUGUCAAGAGAAAACCAUCAUGGGAUCAAAUCUGAAGAGUCCUGAAGCUCACAAGAACAAGGUUUAAUUUAUUAACUCGCGGAGUUUUUUUUUCUUUUUUCAAAACAAUAAGUAGCAUAAACAUAAAGAAAGAAAAAUGAAAUGAGUCUCAUGUAACUUGAAUGCUAUAUGGUGAUAAGGUUUCAGAGACAUAAGUUAUUUGGCCAAACUGGAAAUGCAAAAGAAAA